UACGUAGGGUGCAAGCGUUGUCCGGAAUUAUUGGGCGUAAAGAGCUCGUAGGCGGUUUGUCGCGUCGGCUGUGAAAACCUGGGGCUCAACCCCGGGCCUGCAGCCGAUACGGGCAAACUAGAAUUCGGUAGGGGAGACUGGAAUUCCUGGUGUAGCGGUGAAAUGCGCAGAUAUCAGGAGGAACACCGGUGGCGAAGGCGGGUCUCUGGGCCGAUACUGACGCUGAGGAGCGAAAGCGUGGGGAGCGAACAGG
rnacentral:rRNA from 1 species